rnacentral:ncRNA from 2 species
UUCGCGUGGCGUGGCGAUUUGUUCUCCGGAUUGCGGGCCACGUUAAACUUACCGCUAAAGAGGUCUGACGGGUGCCGAA